rnacentral:rRNA from 1 species
AUGCCGGUAUGAGUAGCGAAAGAGGGGUGAGAAUCCCCUCCACCGAAUGCCUAAGGUUUCCUGAGGAAGGCUCGUCCGCUCAGGGUUAGUCGGGACCUAAGCCGAGGCCGAAAGGCGUAGGCGAUGGACAACAGGUUGAUAUUCCUGUACCACCUCCUCACCAUUUGAGCAAUGGGGGGACGCAGGAGGAUAGGGUAAGCGCGGUAUUGGAUAUCCGCGUCCAAGCAGUUAGGCUGGGAAAUAGGCAAAUCCGUUUCCCAUAAGGCUGAGCUGUGAUGGCGAGCGAAAUAUAGUAGCGAAGUUCCUGAUUCCACACUGCCAAGAAAAGCCUCUAGCGAGGUGAGAGGUGCCCGUACCGCAAACCGACACAGGUAGGCGAGGAGAGAAUCCUAAGGUGAUCGAGAGAACUCUCGUUAAGGAACUCGGCAAAAUGACCCCGUAACUUCGGGAGAAGGGGUGCUCUGUUAGGGUGCAAGCCCGAGAGAGCCGCAGUGAAUAGGCCCAGGCGACUGUUUAGCAAAAACACAGGUCUCUGCGAAGCCGUAAGGCGAAGUAUAGGGGCUGACGCCUGCCCGGUGCUGGAAGGUUAAGAGGAGCGCUUAGCGUAAGCGAAGGUGCGAAUUGAAGCCCCAGUAAACGGCGGCCGUAACUAUAACGGUCCUAAGGUAGCGAAAUUCCUUGUCGGGUAAGUUCCGACCCGCACGAAAGGCGCAACGAUCUGGGCACUGUCUCAACGAGAGACUCGGUGAAAUUAUAGUACCUGUGAAGAUGCAGGUUACCCGCGACAGGACGGAAAGACCCCGUGGAGCUUUACUGCAGCCUGAUAUUGAAUGUUGGUACAGCUUGUACAGGAUAGGUAGGAGCCUUGGAAACCGGAGCGCCAGCUUCGGUGGAGGCAUCGGUGGGAUACUACCCUGGCUGUAUUGACCUUCUAACCCGCCGCCCUUAUCGGGCGGGGAGACAGUGUCAGGUGGGCAGUUUGACUGGGGCGGUCGCCUCCUAAAAGGUAACGGAGGCGCCCAAAGGUUCCCUCAGAAUGGUUGGAAAUCAUUCGCAGAGUGUAAAGGCACAAGGGAGCUUGACUGCGAGACCUACAAGUCGAGCAGGGACGAAAGUCGGGCUUAGUGAUCCGGUGGUUCCGCAUGGAAGGGCCAUCGCUCAACGGAUAAAAGCUACCCCGGGGAUAACAGGCUUAUCUCCCCCAAGAGUCCACAUCGACGGGGAGGUUUGGCACCUCGAUGUCGGCUCAUCGCAUCCUGGGGCUGUAGUCGGUCCCAAGGGUUGGGCUGUUCGCCCAUUAAAGCGGUACGCGAGCUGGGUUCAGAACGUCGUGAGACAGUUCGGUCCCUAUCCGUCGCGGGCGCAGGAAAUUUGAGAGGAGCUGUCCUUAGUACGAGAGGACCGGGAUGGACGCACCGCUGGUGUACCAGUUGUUCUGCCAAGGGCAUCGCUGGGUAGCUAUGUGCGGACGGGAUAAGUGCUGAAAGCAUCUAAGCAUGAAGCCCCCCUCAAGAUGAGAUUUCCCAUUCCGCAAGGAAGUAAGAUCCCUGAAAGAUGACCAGGUUGAUAGGUCUGAGGUGGAAGUGUGGCGACACAUGGAGCUGACAGAUACUAAUCGAUCGAGGACUUAACC